CGCAAAUGUUCCAUCGUUAAAGUUAUAUAGUAAAAUAACUGCUUGCUUUUCACGAUCAGUAAACGUUAAUAAUCAUGUAAUUUCGGAUACGUAGGGUAGCCUCACGAUAUAUCUCAAUAUUGGCCGCCAUUAAUUUGAUAUUUAAGAUAUAUAAAAUAAAAUUGAACAAGUAUGAGUGGGUUUAGAUUAAUUUCCUAUAUUUUGUGGGCUCUGCCUGUCAAUCUGCAGAAUGGCGCAUUUGCCAUGGCACUUCAUGCCCCGUGUACACUAGCAGAAGAAGCGGCGCGGUGAAACACCGCUUCCCAUUCAUUUUCAAUGGAAUGAAAGCUGUGAGGGCGGUGCGAACAUGGCAUGGGAGGCGGUGCGAACAUGGCAUGGGAGGCGGUGAAAAAUAUAAACUUUUCACAAAUUUAUGCAAAUCACCAGUGGCGACCGCUGGGCGAUGACCAAUCAUAUCUGGGCGAUGACCAAUCAUAUCGAGUGGCUCCCUUGACAAAUUUGAUGCUAUGUGACCCAAGGCUGGAGACUUUCUUCAGCAAAGAUGGCUGACAAAAAUACCAGGAUGGAAGCAAAUGGACUCCUGAAUCAACCGAUAGCAUACCAGGCAGUCAUCUUGUGAAACAGUGGAUGUAAAGAAUCUAUCUAGCUGAAGCAUUUACUGCAAAUUGAGUGUACAAUUUUGUAAGCUUGCCUUGCUGAUUUUUGCCAUGCAAUGCAGAUAGAUGAAAUAACAUAGCUAGCUAACUAUUUUCUUGCUUAUUGUGCAGUGGAGGAUAAAGGUACCUGGAUGUGUAGCUCGCUAUGUAGCCGAUCUGUGUAUGGACCUUAAAACGUUUGGUAUACAUAUUAGUUCAGCACCCACGUAGCUAUGAACCUCAGCUAUCAUAGCCAGUUGUAUCAACUUCAAAACAGCCUGAAUGACACUAAUGAAGCCUAUGGAUUGAGUACAAUAUAAUUUCACUUUGUGCCAAGGAUGCAAGUCGUAUAUACAUGUAGUUAUUACCAUGCAUGAGAUCCCCACAUUGUAGCCUGUACAUUUAAUAUAUUCACUGAUCAUGGGCCUCCCGAGUGGCGCAGUGGUCUAAGAGAUUCUGGGUUCGAGUCUAGGCUCUGUCGCAGCCGGCCGCGACUGGGAGGCCCAUGGGGCGGUGCGCAAUUGGCCCAGCGUCGUCCAGGUUAGGGAGGGUUUGGCCGGCAGGGAUAUCCUUGUCUCAUCGCGCACUAGUAACUUCUGUGACGGGCCAGGCGCAGUGCACGCUGACACAUGUCGCCAGGUGUACGGUGUUUCCUCCGACACAUUGGUGCGGAUGGCUUCCGGUUUGGAUGGGCGUUGUGUCAAGAAGCAGUGCGGCUUGGUUGGAUUGUGUUUCGGAGGACGCACGGCUCUCGACCUUCGCCUCUCCCGAGUCCGUACGGGAGUUGCAGCGAUGAGACAAGACUGUAACUACCAAUUAGAUACCACAAAAUUGGGGAGAAAAAAGGGGUGAAAAAUUUAAAAUAUAUAUAAUAAUAAUAAAUAUUCACUGAUCAUGUACUCUACCUUGGCAAAUAAAGGUGCAGUUCAGGUAUGAAUGUCUUUGAGAUCAUUUUUCAGUCAUAUCCAAUACCAGGAGUAUCAAAUUCCAGUCUUUGAAUGAUGCCGUGUCUUCAAUGCAUGUAUGUAUUACAAUUAUACACUUCAACAGUGUUUACCAAUCUUGGUCCUGGGAUAUCAAUGGUUACACAUGAUUUAACUAGUUAAAGGCCGAUUUGUAAUUCAUAUAUACAGAAAUAUAAUUAAAAAAUCAGCACACUACACUUCUUAUGCAUCAUGUAAAUACUCUAACAACAGGUCAUCUCAAUAUCUAAUUUCCUUCAUCUGCAUGGAUCUGAUAAACACAGGAUAGGUGUGGUAUUUCAUCAAAUGAGACUUAAUUUCAACCAGUAGAGAAUUUGAAAUGCUUUAUUGAAAGAAUUUCAUUAUCCAAGUGUUAUAAAUACAUGCAUUAUAAAUAUUAUAAUUGGAAUAUUAUAUUAUAAAUGUAAGUUUUAUCUUUACUUCAAUGCACAUCUAUAUUGUGCAUUAUAAAAACAGAGGAAGAAAGAGGAGGUGGUGAGAGAGGUGUAAAAGACAGAAAGGGAAAGAGGUAAGAACAUAGGAGCAGGGAAGGCAGCAAAUGAUUAAUGAAUCACAGUGCUACCUAAAUAUUCUCUCAGUUCAUCACAAUUACAUAAUAGUGUCUCUCGUCAGACCGAAGGUUAUCUUCAAGCAGGUGAGGUGGCGAUGACAGGACUGGGGGUUGGCAUCCUCACAUCAAAUCAUACCUGCAGACGAGAGACAAGAUGGAAUUAGCAUGUUUCACCCUUGUUUUUUAAAAUAUAUUUUAUUCUAACACGGUCAGUCAUCAUAAUCAUCAGGAGGUGAAAUACAAAACUGACCUUGGAUCAUUAACUCUGGGACUAACUACAUCUCUAUCUGUAUAUCAAUGUAAAGCAUCUCUUUAAUAAUACUUCCUGUAUAAUAUAAACUGACCUUGGAUCAUUAACUCUGGGACUAACUAAAUCUCUAUCUGUAUAUCAAUGUAAAGCAUCUCUUUAAUAAUACUUCCUGUAUAAUAUAAACUGACCUUGGAUCAUUAACUCUGGGACUAACUACAUCUCUAUCUGUAUUUCAAUGUAAAAGCAUCUCUUUAAUAAUACUUCCUGUAUAAUAUAAACUGACCUUGGAUCAUUAACUCUGGGACUAACUACAUCUCUAUCUGUAUUUCAAUGUAAAAUGGGAUGGGGCCACAGUGUCUUCUGAUCCCUCCUGUCUCAGCCUCCAGUAUUUAUGUUGCAGUAGUUUAUGUGUCGGGGGGCUAGGGUCAGUCUGUUACAUCUGGAGUAUUUCUCUUGUCUUAUCCGGUGUCCUGUGUGAAUUUAAAUAUGCUCUCUCUAAUUCUCUCUCUCUUUCUCUCGGAGGACCUGAGCCCUAGGACCAUGCCUCAGGACUACCUGGCAUGAUGACUCCUUGCUGUCCCCAGUCCACCUGGCCGUGCUGCUGCUCCAGUUUCAACUGUUCUGCCUGCGGCUAUGGAACCCUGACCUGUUCACCGGACGUGCUUGUUGCACCCUCGACAACUACUAUGAUUAUUAUUAUUUGACCAUGCUGGUCAUUUAUGAACAUUUUAACAUCUUGACCAUGUUCUGUUAUAAUAUCCACCCGGCACAGCCAGAAGAGGACUGGCCACCCCUCAUAGCCUGGUUCCUCUCUAGGUUUCUUCCUAGCAUUUUGGCCUUUCUAGGGAGUUUUUCCUAGGGAGUUUUUCCUAGCCACCGUGCUUCUUUCACAUGCAUUGCUUUCUGUUUGGGGUUUUAGGCUGGGUUUCUGUACAGCACUUUGAGAUAUCAGCUGAUGUACGAAGGGCUAUAUAAAUAAAUUUGAUUUGAUUUAAA
rnacentral:lncRNA from 1 species